UACGUAGGUGGCAAGCGUUUGUCCGGAUUUAUUGGGUUUAAAGGGUGCGUAGGCGGCUUUGUAAGUCAGCGGUGAAAUACUCUAGCUUAACUAGAGGGGUGCCAUUGAUACUGCGGAGCUUGAGUACAGAUGAGGUAGGCGGAAUUGACGGUGUAGCGGUGAAAAUGCAUAGAUAUCGUCAAGAACACCGAUAGCGAAGGCAGCUUACUGGGCUGUAACUGACGCUGAUGCACGAAAGUGUGGGGAUCAAACAGG
rnacentral:rRNA from 1 species